rnacentral:rRNA from 1 species
CAGCCGUAAACUAUGCGCGUUAGGUGUACUGGUGACCACGAGUCACCGGGUGCCGAAGGGAAACCGUGAAACGUGCCGCCUGGGAAGUACGGUCGCAAGGCUGAAACUUAAAGGAAUUGGCGGGGGAGCACCGCAACGGGAGGAGCGUGCGGUUUAAUUGGAUUCAACGCCGGACAUCUCACCGGAUAAGACAGCUGAAUGAUUGUCAAUCUGAAGGUUUUACAUGACUAGCUGAGAGGAGGUGCAUGGCGUCAGUGACU